UAGUAAAGCCAAGUGACUCUAGAAUAGUUAUCAACAAAAGUAACAAAAUAUUUGCACCCAAUUUAUACACAACAGGACAAGGACCCACACAUCCAAAUGAUCUAGUGCAAAAGGUUGCGCAGACCGUUUAUUGACUUGAGGGGAAUAACUCACACGGUGGUGCUUCCCAAACUGAUACGACUCACAUUCUAAACUAGAAAGAGAACUAAAACGAGAAUCAAGCUUCUUUAAACUCUGUAAAGACGGGUGACCCAAAUGGCACCAUGAAAAAUAAUAA